GGUGAGUAAUGCCUAGGAAAUUGCCCUGAUGUGGGGGAUAACCAUUGGAAACGAUGGCUAAUACCGCAUGAUGCCUACGGGCCAAAGAGGGGGACCUUCGGGCCUCUCGCGUCAGGAUAUGCCUAGGUGGGAUUAGCUAGUUGGUGAGGUAAGGGCUCACCAAGGCGACGAUCCCUAGCUGGUCUGAGAGGAUGAUCAGCCACACUGGAACUGAGACACGGUCCAGACUCCUACGGGAGGCAGCAGUGGGGAAUAUUGCACAAUGGGCGCAAGCCUGAUGCAGCCAUGCCGCGUGUGUGAAGAAGGCCUUCGGGUUGUAAAGCACUUUCAGUCGUGAGGAAGGUAGUGUAGUUAAUAGCUGCAUUAUUUGACGUUAGCGACAGAAGAAGCACCGGCUAACUCCGUGCCAGCAGCCGCGGUAAUACGGAGGGUGCGAGCGUUAAUCGGAAUUACUGGGCGUAAAGCGCAUGCAGGUGGUUUGUUAAGUCAGAUGUGAAAGC
rnacentral:rRNA from 1 species